GACGAACGCUGGCGGCGUGCUUAACACAUGCAAGUCGAACGGAAAGGCCCCCACUUUUUUGGUGGGGGUGCUCGAGUGGCGAACGGGUGAGUAACACGUGGGUGAUCUGCCCUGUACUUCGGGAUAAGCUUGGGAAACUGGGUCUAAUACCGGAUAGGACCAUGGUUUAGUGUCUCAUGGUGGAAAAAUUAUUGUUUUGGUGCAGGAUGAGCUCGCGGCCUGUUAGCUUGUUGGUGGGGUAAUGGCCUUACAAAGCGUCGGCGGGUAGCCCGCCUGGGAGGGUGGGCGGCCCGAUUUGGAGAGACGUGCCGGCCCGCGUCGGAAGGGAGGGGGGGGGGGGGUAUCAUGCUGGAUGGGCGGAAGACUGAUGGAGCGGCGGCGGGUGGGGGAUGACGGCCGUCGGGUUGUAAACUCCUUUCGUUAGGGACGAAGCCGCACCUUUUUUGGGUGUGGUGACGGUACCUUUGUUAAGAAGCACCGGCUAACUACGUG
rnacentral:rRNA from 1 species